AGUAAAAUAAGCUAAAAAAGCUUUUGGGCCCAUACCCCAAAAAUGUUGGUCAAACCUUCUUUUACUA
rnacentral:tRNA from 1 species